rnacentral:rRNA from 1 species
CACGUAGGGCGCAAGCGUUGUCCGGAAUUAUUGGGCGUAAAGAGCGUGUAGGCGGCCAGACAGGUCCGCUGUGAAAACUCGAGGCUCAACCUCGAGAUGUCGGUGGAAACCGUCUGGCUAGAGUCCGGAAGAGGAGAGUGGAAUUCCCGGUGUAGCGGUGAAAUGCGCAGAUAUCGGGAAGAACACCCGUGGCGAAGGCGGCUCUCUGGGACGGUACUGACGCUGAGACGCGAAAGCGUGGGGAGCGAACAGG